rnacentral:rRNA from 1 species
GACGAACGCUGGCGGCGUGCCUAACACAUGCAAGUCGAGCGAAUGAAGUUCCUUCGGGAAUGGAUUUAGCGGCGGACGGGUGAGUAACACGUGGGCAACCUGCCUCAUAGAGGGGAAUAGCCUUCCGAAAGGGAGAUUAAUACCGCAUAAGAUUGUAGUACCGCAUGGUACAGCAAUUAAAGGAGCAAUCCGCUAUGAGAUGGGCCCGCGGCGCAUUAGCUAGUUGGUGAGGUAACGGCUCACCAAGGCGACGAUGCGUAGCCGACCUGAGAGGGUGAUCGGCCACAUUGGGACUGAGGCACGGCCCAGACUCCUACGGGAGGCAGCAGUGGGGAAUAUUGCACAAUGGGGGAAACCCUGAUGCAGCAACGCCGCGUGAGUGAUGACGGCCUUAGGGUUGUAAAGCUCUGUCUUCAGGGACGAUAAUGACGGUACCUGAGGAGGAAGCCACGGCUAACUACGUGCCAGCCGCCGCAGUAA